CCUACGGGAGGCAGCAGUGGGGGAUAUUGCACAAUGGGGGAAACCCUGAUGCAGCGACGCCGCGUGUGGGAAGACGGUCUUCUGGAUUGUAAACCACUGUCCCCAGGGACGAAAAUGACGGUACCUGAAUAAGAAGCCCCGACUAACUACGUGCCAGCAGCCGCGGUAAUACGUAGGGGGCAAGCGUUAUCCGGAUUUACUGGGUGUAAAGGGAGCGUAGACGGUGCAGCAAGUCUGAUGUGAAAGGGCGGGGCCCAACCCCGGGACUGCAUUGGAAACUGUUGAACUGGAGUACAGGAGAGGUAAGCGGAAUUCCUAGUGUAGCGGUGAAAUGCGUAGAUAUUAGGAGGAACACCAGUGGCGAAGGCGGCUUACUGGACUGUAACUGACGUUGAGGCUCGAAAGCGUGGGGAGCAAACAGGAUUAGAUACCCCUGUAGUC
rnacentral:rRNA from 1 species